CAAUAGCGUAUAUUAAAGUUGUUGCAGUUAAAAAGCUCGUAGUUGGAUUUCUGGUGGGAGCGAUCGGUCUGGCGCUUAGCGCGAGUACUUGCAUCGUCUCCGGCCAUCCUUGGGGAGAGUCUGUCUGGCAUUAGGUUGUCGGGCAGAGGAUCCUCAUCGUUUACUGUGAAAAAAUUAGAGUGUUCAAAGCAGGCUUAUGCCGUUGAAUAUAUUAGCAUGGAAUAAUAAGAUAGGACUUUGGUACUAUUUUGUUGGUUUGCGCACCAAAGUAAUGAUUAAUAGGGACAGUUGGGGGUAUUCGUAUUCCGUUGUCAGAGGUGAAAUUCUUGGAUUUACGGAAGACGAACUACUGCGAAAGCAUUUACCAAGGAUGUUUUCAUUAG
rnacentral:rRNA from 1 species